UGAACCUGCGGAAGGAUCAUUAUCGAGUGUGCACCCCGCGUGUAUACCACUGUGAACCGACUGACCUAACUUUUGUGUUUUUUUUCUCAAACUUGUCGUCUGAAUGUGAUUCCAGAAAAACAAAUAUACAACUUUUAACGGUGGAUCUCUAGGCUCGUGCAUCGAUGAAGAACGCAGCCAGGUGCGAUAAGUAGUGUGAAUUGCAGAAUUCAGUGAAUCAUCGAAUCUUUGAACGCAAAUGGCGCUCUUGGGUUCUCCCGGGAGCAUGUCUGUUUGAGCGUCGGGUUCCAACCCAUCGCAACGGAGUUCUUGCUCGCAGUUGCGGCGUUGAGACGUCGCGUCGCCCGUUCGACGCGUCUCUUGAAAUGCAGAGGGAUCGAAUCGCACAGGGUCUUGUGCGAGGCGAAAAUAAGUCUAUUUUCCAACCUCGUUGAUCUGCCGUGCAGUACGUUCGAUUCGAGUAGACACUUACACUUUCUUGACCUCAAAUCAGGCAAGAGUACCCGCUGAAUUUAAGCAUAUUAAUAAGCGGAGGAA
rnacentral:rRNA from 1 species